UACAGAGGGGGCAAGCGUUGUUCGGAAUUACUGGGCGUAAAGGGCGCGUAGGCGGCCUGUUAAGUCGAACGUGAAAUCCCCGGGCUCAACCCGGGAACUGCGUCCGAGACUGGCAGGCUCGAAUCCGGGAGAGGGAUGUGGAAUUCCAGGUGUAGCGGUGAAAUGCGUAGAUAUCUGGAGGAACAUCGGUGGCGAAGGCGGCAUCCUGGACCAACACUGACACUGAGGAGCGAAAGCCAGGGGAGCAAACGGG
rnacentral:rRNA from 1 species